AAAAAAAAAGAGAAAAAAAGAAGCAAUGACGGGGCUUAACUCUUCAAUGACUUCUGGGAAGACAUAGGGUCAAUUAGGGACCAUCAUAUCCUUAUUUGGGGCAAACCUUGCCCUCGCCAAACAUCUGCAAAUAUUGCUACCAGGCUUUUGGGUUGCAGCAUGCAGGACUUGAGAUGUCAAGAUGUCAAACAACAACGCUGUCCCAACUGAGAGUGCAGGCCCAAACAAGGCCAAAAGCCAAUAUCGUGUUGU